CGGAGGGUGGUGCAGCUGUUGACUGAGAUCACUGAAAACCCACCUGAUGUGGUGGAAGUUGUCGAACCAGAUCAGAAUGCCUUCAAGGACUACAGUACCUUCAGGCAGAGACGGAGAAAGAUGUGGGAGAAGACUGAGAUGGAGAGGAUGAGGGUUUUUGACCAGGGGAGACUGAACAUGGACAAGGUGCAGGAGAAAUGGAAGGAAAGGCACCAGAGCAGAAUCAAGAUGGGGACCAAGUGCU